rnacentral:tRNA from 1 species
CAAAGAAUAGUUUAAAAAAAAUAAUAAUUUUGGAGAUUAUGGAUAGAGAUUUAUCUUUUUCUUUGA